UAGAGGGAACCCGAUUGGUUUAAAUCCUAUAUUAGAGUAGGUUUAGGUUAGGUUAGAACUCCGCCCUUACACAACAACGAACGGCUUUUAAAGUAGGUCUAGGUUAGGUUAGAAUUGUGACCACGCGCAAAAACAGUUUACAGAUUAGGUUUAGGUUAGGUUAGUACUGUGACCACACACAAAAACAAACAGUUUACAGAGUAGGUUUAGGUUAGGUUAGAACUGCGACCCUACACAUCAACGCACGACCUUUAAAAUAGGUUUAGGUUAGGCUAGAAGAAGGUUACGUUAGUUGUGACCAAACA